rnacentral:sRNA from 1 species
AGAUGACCUUGAAUUUUUGAUGGUCCUGCAUCCUCUUCCUAUACAUUGAAAUUAGCGGGCCCAGUUUUUAUGUGGUUCCAGAAUGUUGUAUAUGCCAGGCAAACACUCCAUGAACUGAGCUACAUCCCCAGUCGAAUGGCCUUAAAUCUUUUGUUUUGGCAGCAGCUGUAUCGAUCCCCACCCCCUUUUUUAUGUCUCGCCUACCAUGUCAUUUGUGGAACAUUUUCCUCUUAUAAUUUGUAGGCAUCCUGAUUAGUGUUCACCACUGUGGUGCUAUCUCAAAUGAAGCAAGCAGAAAUCCAUGUUCUUUCUUGCUUUAGGGAGGAAACUGUUUUGUUUUUAAGGUGGCCUUUAUCAGAUUGAAGUUUUUCCCCUCAGUUUCCAGUAAGCAGAAAAUAUAUGGGAAUCAAUCCCUAAUUCUCUCAAAUGAGCUUUUCUUCCAUGUCAGACAUUUUUCCUUCUGGUCUGUGGAUAUAAAGACUUGCAUCGUUUCUCAAAUGUUAAAGCAAUCUUGUGUUCCUGGCAUUUACUCCACUCCAUUGCUCUCUGAUGUGCGAGCUUGGUUGUCCAGGAAGUAUGACUCCUUGGUUCUUGUUGAUCACAAUCUUCAUCUGUUCCUCACCCACUUUGGGAACAGGCUGAACUCUGCUCUCCUGAGUGUGGACAAUGCCCCCUGCAUUCCUGUAUUUUAGAGUGGUUUAUAUAGACUCCAGAAGUGCUUGAUAGAAUUUAGCACUGGAUCCAUCUGGAAAGCUCCAAUGUGGAAGGCUGUUAAGUAAAUUUUCUUUCAUGAUUAGCUAUGAGGCUAUGAGUAAUUAGAUCAAGGCUUCUUGUGUGAGCUUGGAUAAUACUGCCAAUUAAACGUUCGGGAUUCCUCUCCAACCGAACAAUCCUAACCACUAAGCAGAGCUAGUAAACAUGGGCUGCCAAGCAAGCAAUCAAGGUUAAGUGAGGUCAUAAUAAGCCUGAAUAGUAUAGAAUUAGUGACACAGUAGACAGCUCACCUCCACGGCCUCAUGGUGAAAUCUGUACCUGCAAGCUGCCCUGAGAAACUGCCCUAGAAAUCACAACCAUGGACCUCCAGCCACCAUACUUUACUAAGAAAACUCUCUCGUCUGUUAUGGCAACCUAGCCCAGAAAGUCUGUCAGACACACUGGGUCAGAAGGCGAGAGAUGAUGAUGCUCCAGUGCUGCAGAGGAACCUUGGCUAACUGUCCGGGCAGCCGUGUCUGUCACUUCUAUAGUUUGGAAGCCACUUGCCCUGUACUCCCAUCAUGUUCAGGUAAUGUUCAUUCCUUCUCAGCUCUCUGAUGAAGUUGAGUAUCACAAUUGAGUAUCACAAUUAAGCAUAAGUUGUUUAGUAAUUUAAAAACAUGUGCUUUAAAGUCUAAAAGGAUAUUUGUAGACUGUUAAUGUAUAUUAUGAUAAAAAAUGAUUCAUGUACAAAACUUUAAACUCACCAAGACAGGAUAGAUAGUACUUUAUCUAAGGUUACCAAACACAAAUGGACUGGAAACUGUGAAUGUAAUUGACCUGAUAAGUUUUCAUAACUGUUAUUGCUGUUUAGUUUAUUAUUGUAAGAAUAAUAAACUUUUAUUGGAAUAAAAGGGGGAGAUGUUAGGGGAUGGUUUUGUGCACUGUGUAUCAGAUGCUGAUCACUGUGCUCAAAGAUCUGGUUGCAGUCUGUAUGUUGGCAUUAUCAAGCAUCUACUGUCUCAGUGUUAUGUAAAAACUGUUUUCCAUCACCUCUGGUUGAUUAAUAAAGAGCUGAUCAGCCUACAGCUGGGCAGAAGAGAAGGCAGGACUUCUGUGUAUAGAGAAAGAAAAGAAGGGGUUUAGGUGAGAGAAGAGAUUUGCUUUGGAAGAUUUGCAAUGAACAGAUCACCAGGAGUGUUAAGAUGAGGACAGUGACGGAGCACAAGCAGCCAGGGCAGGACUAAGACAGCAAGUGAUGGGCACAGUGCUGGGAAGCAGACCGCCAUAGCGGGUGGGUUCGAAUAUAUGAUGGGCACAGUGCUGGGAAGCAGACCGCCAUAGCGGGUGGGUUAGAAUAUGUGAUGGGCACAGUGCUGGGAAGCAGACCGCCAUAGCGGGUGGGUUAGAAUAUGUGAUGGGCACAGUGCUGGGAAGCAGACCGCCAUAGCGGGUGGGUUAGAAUAUGUGAUGGGCACAGUGCUGGGAAGCAGACCGCCAUAGCGGGUUAGAAUAUGUGAGUGUCUUCCUAGCUACAGUGUUUAACUUGCUCAUUAAAAACAACGUCUCAGUGUCAUUUAUUUGGGAGAUAAAAGGGGCAAUAGAAAAGCCCCUCUGAAUUGCUUUAUAGAUAUCUAACAUUAAAAAUGGUUCUGGUUUGAAUGGCAGUAAAGGGUUUCAAAAAGAAACAGACUGAGAAAGACUUGUUUAAAACCAACUGGCUGACAUGGUUAAUGGGAUGACUAAAUACAUAAGUGACCAGGAAAAA